AUUGAACGCUGGCGGCAUGCCUAACACAUGCAAGUCGAACGGGUGGCGGACGGGUGAGUAAUCUGUGGGAACCUGCCCGCUGGGGGGGGAUAACUACUGGAAACGGUAGUUACUACCGCGUCCCAUCCGAUGUGCCCCGAUGGGAUUAGCUGGUAGGUUGGGUAACGGCUCACCUAGGCGACGAUCCCUAGCUGGUCUGAGAGGAUGACCAGCCACACUGGGACUGAGACACGGUCCAGACUCCUACGGGAGGCAGCAGUGGGGAAUAUUGCACAAUGGGCGCAAGCCUGAUGCAGCCAUGCCGCGUGUAUGAAGAAGGCCUUCGGGUUGUAAAGUACUUUCAGCGGGGAGGCGUUACCCGCAGAAGAAGCACCGGCUAACUACGUGCCAGCAGCCGCGGUAAUUC
rnacentral:rRNA from 1 species